AGGACUUCCCAAGAGUGUCCCAUGGAACCUGAGUUCUAAGGACGGUACAUGAAAAAAAUCAACAUGGGUUCCAUGAUCAAAGAAGUUUGGGAAAUGGGCUAAAUGAAAGGACUUCCAAGGCCUUUUAUCUGCUAAUGAGAAAGGUGGUUUCCAAAAGGAAAAGCUUUGGGAGAUAGAAGUCCUCGUUUUGACCUCUGCCCUCCUUGUACACCAGGAGCCAGAAAAACUUCAUCUCUUUUACAAGAAACAUUGAGAUUCCUGUAAAAUUAAGAAAUCACACAAUUUGAUGGUCUACAUUAUCUAAAGCAAAUGAGACUUCUAUUUGGAACAAAGACUACCUUGUUGGGAAAUGAGUCUGCAAGUUAAAGUGUUUUCUGGAAUAGGCUCAGAGAGGAGAAAUGGUUUGCCCUUGGCCACACAACCUGGACAAGGAGGAAUCUGGAUCGGAACCCAGACCUAACUGAUUCCAGAGAGCUUGCUCUUUUUAGAAGACCACAGUCUUAUAAUCACUUCUUGUAUUUCUCUAGAUGUGACUGUAUAUUUGUGUGAUUUAAACUUUUCAGGGUAAUGAAACAUUGUCCUUCACAGGAGCUAAAAAGAAAACUACAACUCAACAUAGACAAGCAAAGUUCACAGGAAAUCUGACCCUGUGACAAUAAUUUUAAGGAACAAGAAGGCAUGAGUCACAAUCCAAAAUAGCAAGAAUAAAGCAUAGGAUUCUGCUUAUGCCAAAAUAUUCCUCUGUGAUUUAAACAGAGGCAGGGACUUUGUUUCAACCAUAGUGGAUAUGGGAGGGAGAACGUCUACUGUAAGUUGGGAUGUCUACAGAAGAAAUGGAUAUCCAAGACACAAAUAACUAUUUUUAAACAAGUACAUAAAAGACAGGGAUGUGUCUAUUAAAUAAAUUCUUAUCAUUUUCUACCCUUAGAAAA
ensembl:lncRNA HISLA HIF1A stabilizing long noncoding RNA